GUGCAUAAAAUAACUAAAGUACUGAAAAGUAAAUAAAGCAAUUGAAAAGAGUCUAGUGAAAAUAUGAGGACACGAAAUAGACUUUGUUUCUAGUUUUAACGAUUGACUAGCUACUAUUAUCACUCAGUUUGUAUGUAUUGUUCUAUUGUUCUAAACACGUAUUUUCAGAUACAGUGCCAGUAAAAGUGACACUUGUUGUUAGUAUCAACAAAAAGUUCAAGCCAGAACUAUCAGAUAAGUCAUCGAUCCUAUAUAAAAAGUACAAGACAGAAUUCAAAUCAAAGCUUGAGAGCAAGUAUAAGUCUAUGGAUAAUUUUCUUAGAGUAGAUGUUCUCGGAUUUAGAAAUGGAAGUACUGUAUGCGAGUAUGCAGUUGUUCUUAAACCCCGUAGUGAUUUGGCAAAGACAUCUAUACAGAAUAAAACUGAUUCGUUAAACGGCAUAAAAAUUUUCAACGAAACUAUGAAAUCAGAAAAUAAAACAAUAG